UGCCCCAAGUGCGUCCGGCCUUGACCCUAGGGUCCCGGUGUCAAAUUGAGCCUCCCUCCCCGGGAACCGAUGUGCAGAGCAAACAGCGUCCUUGGCGAGCAACAAGGAAGUGCUACUCACCCCGGUCCGUUAUUGGGCCCGGGCGCAGCAGAGUCUUCUGGCUGUUGUCCAUGGAGUGAGAAUGACUGGACUGAUCUGGGAAUGGAAGCUCAGAGGUGAAGGGAGUCACCCAAUGCUGCUCAGCUGUGGAGUGGUAGUUUCGGGAGCUUGCACGGAGGCUGUAGGAGUCUGACUUCAGACCGAGGACUCGUGAAGCACUCCGUAUGGGCAGGAAACUGGCUGGACCGGCGGAGUUCAAGAACUCACGUUCUUAGCGUCAUUGGUAUUGGUUCUAUUGUCAUAACAAUUGUUUUGUCAUAAUUGUGUUACCCGAGACAGAACCUCUCUCAUAACCCAUAGUUUGUGUUCGUUGCUUGUUGCUUUCUAAGAGCUCCGCACCGAUGCAUUAUGCUCUGUCUGAGCUUGGCUUCCUAUUGCCAUGAUAGGAUACCCCGACAAAAGCAUUUGAAGGAAGCAGUUUAUUUGGCUCACGAUUCUAGGUCUGUCCCGAACAGGGAAGUCACUGAAGCAGGAGUUUGAGAGAACCAGUUAAGUGUGUUCGUGGUUGGACAAAGAGAGGAAUAGAUGCAUGCAUGCCCGAGCUCCUCUCAUCUCUCUCGUUUGUUCCUGAGGCAGGGUCUCACCAGGUAGCCCUGGCUGGCCCGGAACUCCCAAAGACCCGUCUGUCUCUGAUUCAUGAAGUGCUAGGAUUUAAAGGUGUGAGCUGUCACAAGCAGAACUUAUUUUUUAUUUAUUUGAAAGUUGCAUUUAUUCAUUUAUGUCUGUGUUGGUUUGCGUUUGCAAAUGAGGAGGCAACUUUUGGGAGUUGAGUGCUUGCCUUUUGGUUUGUAAGGUCCCAGGGGAUAGAUGAAGUUGUAAAGUUUGGCCCCAAGUGCCUUUUCAUGGUGAGCCAAGUCAGUGACUCCGCUCUCUCCCUUUGCACAGUCUAAGGUACAAACCCAAGCGAUGGUGUGAAUCACUUUGAGGUUGGGUGUUUCCACCUUAACAUAAUCAAGAUGAUCUCCUAGAGACAUGCCCACAGGUCACCCUGAUCUAGACAGUCCCUUCUGGAGACUCUCUUUCCAGGCGAUUGUGGACUGUGUCAAGCUGUCAGGGUAUCAUGGUCCCAAACCAGAGCUGAUGUGUCAACUAGAGAAUGGGCAGGAGCUGUGAGGUGAUGAGAGACCUUUCCCCAAAGAUUAUCAGUGCAGGAUAAAAGAUAAAGCAGAUUUCCUGUGAAUAUGCAAUGAAGGUUAUCUCUUUUCUGGAAUUUCAUAGCGGCUCUGUCUUCCUUCUCUGCUUCUGUGUGAGCCCCCUCCUGCUCAUCAUUCUCAUCUACCCACUUCCUCCUGCACUCUUCCUCUGUGUCCCUUCAGAAAGGGGCAGGCCUCCCAUGGGCUACAACAAGGCAUGGCAAGUCAAGUUGAGGCAGGACCAAGCUCCUCUUCCUGAAUCAAGGCUGGGCAAGGAGGACUCCUGGAGAUCUGCCCAGUGUUUGACUGUGGAUCUCUGCAUCUGCUUCCAUCAGUUACUGGAUAAAAGCUCUCUGACAACAAUUAGUACAGUCUCCACUCCAAUCAUGGUAGAUGGCCAGUUCAGGUAGUCUCUCCACUGUUGCCAGGAGUCUUAGCAGAGAUCACGCUUGUGGAUUCAUGGGAGUUUCCCUGACACCACGUUUCUCCCUGAUAGCUGAGAGGCCAGCCUGUGACUGAUCCAGACCCCCUAAAUUUGAGUGUCAGUGAGGAGGCCUCAGCAAUCUAUGGGGCCUCAGGUAGUAGAUCAGAAUUUAUC